AAGAGAGAUGCUGAGAAAAUGAAGCUUGAGAAAGGGAGGUGAGGGUGCCAGCGAGGCUGUUGGAGCUCAUGCUGAAAAUACUGAAUCCAAGGAGAACGUCGGAGUCAAAAGAGAAAAUGGGUGUUGCAACAUAGCGCAGAGUGCAAGUGUUUAAAAGUGGACUGGAAACAGACGUGGAAGCUUUUAGUAGUCUGCCAUUAUUUUAAAGAGCAGACUUUUAAAUAACAGACAACAAACCACCCUCCUACAUGCGCCCGCCGGUCGGCGUCCUUCUCUAGGUGUGUGUUGCUGCGCGUGAAGCACGGGGAAUGCAAGGGUGGCCUCGCUGCGUCGGCCGUGCUGUAUCGAGCACGGCCGUGGCGGCGCGUAUCACCGGCUCUCUCAGGCUUCUUUUCUUAGAGCUGCCGAGGAAUCGCCUAGCCUAUCGAUCCACUCGCAUGUAAACACAGUAUCUUCGGUCUCUGGCUCAAGCUGCGGAGUGGGAGGCUACCGACUUGAAGAAGGUGGAGGAAGCCUACGAGACAGUCAACAUGGAAAUAAGUGAUCUUCAGAAGAAGCUGGAAAUAGACUACGGGACAGAUUGGGAGUAUUUGUUUCUGAACGGCCAGUGCUACAAGCUGAAAGUGUACGAGUAAGUACAGACUUUCUUUUAUUACCAGGGUUUUUUUUUUAUCUGUGGCCCGACUUCGGUGCUGACAGUAUUUCUGAAUAGCAGGUUACAUGUAAAAUAUUCUACCUCGGAGAUUCAGUUCAGUUCAGUUUAUGUACCGCCAAUUCACAACAAAAGUUGUCUCAAGGCCCUUCACAAAUGAAAACGGUAAGCUCACAACCUCACAAAGCAAUUAUGAACAUAUUGGGAGAAGUCGCUUGAAACUGAUUUGAUGACCAUGUUUUAAGAACCUAAAUAAUCAAAAGGCAUUAAACAGUUAAACAACCACAACUCCUUUAUAGGUCAUUGUUGGGGCUAUCGUCGGUCUGUGUUCAGACUGCUCUGUUUUAGCAGCCGCUCUGCAAUCAGCUGUAUUAUUUGGAGCUUCAAAAUAGUAAAUAGUAAUAUUCUAAAAAUUAUAUGAAAUGGACUUAUUUAGGUUCUGCACAAAGUCUGGUUUAGUUUUUUCAUUACCUGAAUUUGGUGCGUGGUUGUAAGCAAGCACAGGAAAUGGUAGUACUUCUCUUUCAGCCAGCUGACCAGGAGUGUGCC